rnacentral:rRNA from 1 species
AGGAUCAUUACAGAAUGAAAAGUGCUUACUGCAUUUUUUCUUACACAUGUGUUUUUCUUUUUUUGAAAACUUUGCUUUGGUAGGCCUUCUAUAUGGGGCCUGCCAGAGAUUAAACUCAACCAAAUUUUAUUUAAUGUCAACCGAUUAUUUAAUAGUCAAAACUUUCAACAACGGAUCUCUUGGUUCUCGCAUCGAUGAAGAACGCAGCGAAAUGCGAUAAGUAAUAUGAAUUGCAGAUAUUCGUGAAUCAUCGAAUCUUUGAACGCACAUUGCGCCCUUUGGUAUUCCAAAGGGCAUGCCUGUUUGAGCGUCAUUUCUCCCUCAAACCCUCGGGUUUGGUGUUGAGCGAUACGCUGGGUUUGCUUGAAAGAAAGGCGGAGUAUAAACUAAUGGAUAGGUUUUUUCCACUCAUUGGUACAAACUCCAAAACUUCUUCCAAAUUCGACCUCAAAUCAGGUAGGACUACCCGCUGAACUUAAGCAUAUCAAUAAGCGGAGGAAAAGAAACCAACAGGGAUUGCCUUAGUAGCGGCGAGUGAAGCGGCAAAAGCUCAAAUUUGAAAUCUGGCACUUUCAGUGUCCGAGUUGUAAUUUGAAGAAGGUAUCUUUGGGUCUGGCUCUUGUCUAUGUUUCUUGGAACAGAACGUCACAGAGGGUGAGAAUCCCGUGCGAUGAGAUGUCCCAGACCUAUGUAAAGUUCCUUCGAAGAGUCGAGU